ensembl:lncRNA
CGCGCGCUCCCCUGUCCCACAACUCCCUUGGUGAGGGGAGGCCCAGGGUCGUUAAACUACAAGUCCCAGCAUGCAGCGCGAGCCGCUCUCCUCAACCCAGUCACGUGCCGAGGCCCGUCUUGGAGACUGCGAGUCCCGGCAUGCAACGCGGAUAUCCGGGAGCUGCGGGCCCAGCAUGCCGUUCGCUAUCCGAGGGCAUCUCCCUCAUCGUCUCUCUCCGUCGGGAGCCAGUGCGCACGGUGCCCUGUUUGCGUCCGGGAGCUCCAAGCCUGGAGAACACGGUGGACACCUCAGUCUCGGGCUGCGCAGACCUGUCCUCUGGGUUUCAGCGUUUGUCCCCGGGACCUGCUGCUCCGAGGCCGUGCAGAUGCGGGGCGUCCUGUUCCGACCCAGCUCUUCAGGUGCAGUUGGUAGCGGACGCCGAGCGCACCUGCUGCCCCGUGGCCGCCCCGCUGCUCGGACGCUCUGAACCUUUCAGUGGACUAACCGCAAGUUUUUUGCUUGGUUUUGCCUUUCUUGUACUUUUCCAAGAAGAGAGGUUCGAAUGUGCAGGAAGGAACCCCCUGGUCUCAGUCACGGUCUCCUGGCCGUGAGUGUGCGGCACCCAUGAGUGACUGGAAAUCGCUCGUCAGCCGCGCCCAGCGCCCGGGUCGCCGGGCAGGGGGGUCUCGGCGGCCUCGUGUCCCUGCACCUGUGAGGGUUUCCACAAGAACACGGAAGGGGAAACUUCCGGUUUUCCUCUGAAAGGGGAAGCUGGGAUCGACCAUGAGUAUUUUCAGUCCGUUUAUUGUUUCUGCUUCCCCAAAAUAGCUCUCUGCUGGUGAGACACGUCGGCGUCACAGACGGACCAGUCACACAGGGAAGCCCCUCGCGGCCCCGGCGCCUCCCUCAAGUUCUACAUUUUUAACCAAAGGCUCCUUCGCAAGGAAAUGAGUUAGACAUUUACAAAGGUAGCUGCUGGCCCCUGGUCCCGGAGCUGCGACACUUGUUUGCUCUCAAAACCAGAAUGGUGUUAUUUUCAACACCAUCUUUAAUGCAGAGGCUUGGGCUUCAGACAGGAAUCACACGUCGCUUUUCCCCGGUGGCCGCUCGGCCCUGAGGGUGCUGCGCGCAGUGGCACCACAGCGCCAUCGGGGCUCAUCUGGCCUCUGAAGGAUUUCAAGGCUGCGUAAGAUUAAUUCUAACUUUCAGCUCCUCCCCAGCUGUAUCGUGAGGUCAGUUCAAACCCGCUCAUAUGACAGCCUAUCAGGAGAUCUGUUGGCUCCUUAGCUGGUAGGUCCAGAGCGCCUUCAGGGAUGGUUUGAUCCAGCAGCUCAAUGGUGCCUUCAAGUAAUUGUAUUUCUGUCCCAGCUCACCCUGAGGCCAGCUCCACUUGCCGUCACCAGGGGGUUCAGACAGGAACGGGUGUGUGAGAGUGGGGGGUCUCCCUGUGCCCGUGUGGGGUCAGGGCCAGCUCUGGAGGGCUAACUCUAGGCCGAAUCUCCUCCCAGGGGCAGAGCGGUGCUGGAUGGUGCCCUGGAGGCUGGGGCUGGUUUGGCCUUCCCAGACGUCACGGAUCACAGGCACCCAGCGUCUCCUGCGAGCACAGGGUCUGGGCAGACCCCCUCCUGUCCUUCACACGCUGUUCUGACACUCCCGGCCUCAGAUGGGGUCUCACCCUCAGAGCCUCUAAAAUCUGAGAACGACACAGGGCAGGGACCAGGGACAUAGGAACCCCUUCCUCUUUUGUAUAAUGGUGACUGCAGAAAAUUCUGGAGAAUUCUAGAAACCAAAGGCUUCCCAUUUCCAGUGUUGGGUUUAUUAGUGCUUGGAUUUAGGAGACGGUGUGACCCCUGCUUUGGAAAGGCGGGGUUGUCAUGUAGCCCGUCCACAGGGCGUCACCAAGAGGUCACCCAGGAGGGUGCACAGCUCAAUCCAUGCACAUGAACAACAGGGCACAUUUGGACUUCAGGCAGUUCCCUUGCUCGAAGGAUCGACAGGACUCGGCAUCACCUUCCACUUGUGGCACGGACUCCCCCUCCCCCUCCCUCUCCUUCUCCUCCCUCUCCCCUCUUCCUUCCCUCCUCCUCCGUCCCCUUCCCCUCCCCCUCCCCUCUCCUCCCUCCUUGUGCUCAGACGGAUAAUCUUACCGUCAAAGAAUCUUUAACAAACUCAAACAUUGUAGAUGUUAAGGUCCAAUGUUUGUAGGUCACUUUGCAAACUCCAUCAAGCAGUGCACUGUGCAUGUGGAUGUCCGUCCUUCUGUUUGUACAGAAUUUUCCAUGUGCUGCUGGGCGUGCCCCCACUUUGGAGUCAGAGCUCGGGCUUUAAAUACCCUGGCUCACCCAACCCUCUGCUGACCCUGGGGCACCUCCUGCAAGCCCAAGCCCCCCGGCUUGUUCCCCAUCACAAACCCUGACCUCCCAGCAGGUAGGGUGACCAGGACGUAGCCCCAUGGGGCAGGGCCGCCAGGCACAUGCACACAUAUGCUUGUGCAAACACACGCACACGUGCACGCAAAGUAGGUGACAUGCACUGAGGCGUGAAUGCCCUCAGGCAGCAGAGCUGAGAACUGGGUCCAAUAAAAAGAGAGAUGCUGGACGAAGGAUGCAAGUGUCUAACUUUGUCCCAUGCAUUAUCCCCAAGGCUUUCCCUUUUGUCUCUCUCAGGAGCGCUGGGGAGCCCUGGGCACAACCAAGUGAUCAGGCAUGAGAGACAGUCACACGUUCACUCUGUAAGAUACAAUGAUGUGUCUCUGCAUUGGAAAGUUAGCUUCGGUCUCUAUUUUUUUAAGUAUCUGUGACAAGAUCUAAGCUAUUGUCAUGGAUUUGAAUAAAAUCUUUAUUAUGUGACUUGCACGCCAGAAAUCUUAGAAGCUAGAGAUAUAGUUGAGGGAAUUUGGAACAUAAUUUUCUACAAGUAACCUGCCUGGCCGGGUUUAAACAGAAUGUACGGGAAUGCCACACAGGAUCUCAAGCCCCUGCUAAGAAAUAUUCCCACAUUCCUCCGCUUUUGGUGGAGGAAGCAAUUUGCCCUGGAUUGCCAGGCAGGGCUCCAGAUCUCACAAGAGUCCUGCCCAGGCACACGCACGUGCAUGUCCACACUCACACCCAUGUGACCUGUGCACACUCGUGCGUGUGCGCGCACACGCAACGCCCCACUCGGGGGAGGUGGCCUCUGCUGUUGCGAGCACAGGGAAGGGCAUGAGGGACCAGCUGGCUUGGGACUCAUGACCCACGCCCGCCUUCCUCCAGCCGCCAGCUAUGAUGGGCACCAGAGGCCGGCGGGCGGGGCCUGGCUGCGUGGCGGGAGGUAGUGGGCACCAGACAGGCCGCGCAGACGAGGGCCUGAGAGAGCCCCGGCCCGGUCCCACCACAGACCGAGGUUAGGAGGGGUGGGGUCCCUGCUGGUGGGGACCCACCGGCCAGUGCGCCCCAGCCCUGGAGCUGUAAGGUGAGGCUUCUGCAACCACGGGAUCAUUUCUGUCAUUUUUCUGGGGCCUCAGAGCCAACACCUCACAGGCAGCUCCCUCGCGGCUGUGCAGAAAAGCACUGAAGGAGGGGGUGAGUUCCUGAUCCCACUGAGCCUCUGGCUACACCCGACCCCUGACAGAGGCCUGUGCAAUCAGGCAGAAGCGAUUGUGUGCGGUGCUCCCGGGAGCACGGAGCUUCUGGGCCAGUGCGGCCCUGGGGUCAUCUUCCCAGCUCCUUCUUGCCUCCCACCAUGACUGAUUCCAGGACGCGCCUCCAACGAACCGGCCAGCUGUGCCCCGGGCGGGCGCCUGUCCUGACCCUGGCUCUUUGGCCGGCCGGGGAGGGGGUGCCAAGCAGGAGCCUCAGUGGUGCUUAUCCUUAGUGCCUGUGGACCUAGCUGCUCCCACAGUGAGGGCCGAAAACAGGGGAGUGGUCAGCUGUGGCCACAGGGCAGGGCUGGGGGGCAGUUGGGGGGCUGCGGGAGGGGAGCCUGGCCUGCGGGGGCUGUGGUUGGGGGGCUGUGGGGCGGAGCUUGACCCGUGGGGGGCUGCGGGUGGGGGGACUGGGGGGCUGUGGGUGGAGCCUGGCCCGCGGGGGCUGUGGGCAAACCUCUGUCCACUGUUGACUCCUAAUCCCGGCUCUUCGUUUGCAAGAUAAAGAGAGUGGAGGAUUUAGAGCCCAAUCCGGUUUUGGUACUUUCUUCACAGAAGCUCCUCCUUCGCUCUUUGCUGUUGGCUCCAGAACAGCCGUGACACGGCAGUGGUUUCGAGUGUCCACAGGGGCGCAAACGCGGGCUCGGUCCGCUUCGGGGUGCCGCCGCCCGCCCUGGACCUCGGCCCUACAGCCCCCGCAAGCACCGGUUCCUUCCUGUGCGCAUCGGCGCGUCCUGGGUUUUGCUGGAUGGAGGACCGGUGGCCGCGGGCCGUGGUGACUGUGUCAUCACUCACAUCGUGGGCCUGUUGUCCUCAGCUGAGACCCUUCCUUGGGGCGCGGUGGGGGUACAGACGGUUAGGUCGCAGACCGUAUUCUCACGAUCUCCCUGAAAUGUUCUGAAAUUCCCGACAGAAUCCGGGUCUGAAGGCCUCGCAGACGAGCUGCGUGCGUCUGAUGGUCAGGGUGGGAGUCACUGCUCCCAGGAGGGAGCUGCACCCCGGAGGCACUGCCCGGCGUCGGGCUGGGGGAGAAGGCGGCAGGGCCUAGAGGGCAUGAGGCCCAUUUGGUGGGAGCGACCAUUUGGUGGAACGUUCCAGGCUCCUGUUUCGAAGGGGCUGCAGUGACCCAGGUGCAGGGAGAGCAGGGGGACCCAGCCCUCGCAGGCACUUCCCCCCUUAGGCCUGCAGGGCGCGAGGCCCUGACCUGUGGCCGGGGCUGUGGGGGCUCCCUGGACCUGCCCCUCCUUGGUGGUCCCGCGACAGCUGCCCGCGCCCCCUGCCGCACUCUCUGCCCCCAGCGACCCCUGGGCCCGUGGUGGGCGGCUCAGGCCAGGCCCUCUUCAGGGAGCCGCGGGGUGGAGGGUCCUGUCCUCCGUGGAAAACACGCCACUGCAGGUUGCAGGGCCACCUGCCUUCUGUGUGGCCUUAGGCUCCGCCCACCCCCUUGUGAUCACAGUGAUGGCCUCUCGGUGAUGAGGGUUCUGUCGCUGUGGAGGCGCCGCCACGGUGAUGAUGGUGAUGGCGUGAUGAUGUCAUUACGACUGACCAAAUGUGAGGGUGACGACGGUGAUGACG